rnacentral:RNase_P_RNA from 1 species
GCGGCAGGCCGCUUUAUCGUUCCCGACUUAAGUCGGGAGAGGAAAGUCCGGGCAACGCAGGGCACCGUGCUUCUUAACGGGAAGAUCUUUGAAAGGGGAUAGCAACGUAACAGAAAAUAACCAUCCCGAACCGACGUGUCGGAUCGGGAAACGGGUGAAAAGGUGCGGUAAAAGCGCACCGGUGAUUGUGGUAACACAGUUAGCCGUACGUCUCACGGGUUGCAAAACCAAAUAUAUCCUGAUUGUUUGCCGCUGUUGCGGUACAGCGGGGUUACCCGCCCCGUUUCUCUUCGCACAAGGAUGUCAGGAGGGGUAGGUUGCAGGAUUAAAACAGUAAUGUUUUGACUAGAUAAAUGAUAAAGGGUCCUGAUUACCAUCGGGAUUACAGAACCCGGCUUAUAGGCCUGCCAUUUUU